GGUUACCUUGUUACGACUUCACCCCAGUCGUCAACAACAGCUUGGGCGCCGGCCUCCCGAAGGUUAGCCUAGCUACUUCUUUUGCAACCCACUCCCAUGGUGUGACGGGCGGUGUGUACAAGGCCCGGGAACGUAUUCACCGUGACAUUCUGAUUCACGAUUACUAGCGAUUCCAACUUCACGCGGUCGAGUUGCAGACUGCGAUCCGGACUACGACCAGCUUUGUUAGAUUAGCUCCCCCUCGCGGGUUUGCAGCCCUCUGUACUGGCCAUUGUAGCACGUGUGUACCCCAGUUC
rnacentral:rRNA from 1 species